AGGUUUUGCAUUAAAUUGUUUUGUAAUUCCAGUUGAAUGUUUAUUAUUAUUAGUUGCAACCCCAUGCGUUUAGCGCAUGAUAAGGGUUUAGUCUUACACACAAUGGUAGGCCAGUGAUAGUAAAGUGUAAGUAAUUUGCUAUCAUAUUAACAUGUCUAGAGGAAAGUCAGAACUUUUUCUGUUUGUGUUGUUGGAGUACUUAAAGAUCGCAUAGGCGCGCCAACAAUGGAAGAGCCAACAACAUAUCUAAAAAUGUUUUGUCUGGUACUUGUUAAUGAUAUUGUUUUUGAUAUGGAUAC
rfam:Human Coronavirus NL63, complete genome